rfam:Ictidomys tridecemlineatus contig013610, whole genome shotgun sequence.
GUGAUUUUAGCUCAGUGGUAGAGAGCUUGCCUCACAAGCAUGAGACACUGGGUUCAAUCCUCAAAACCACA